UAGUGGCAGACGGGUGAGUAACGCGUGGGAAGCUACCUUGUGGUAGGGGACAACAGUUGGAAACGACUGCUAAUACCCUAUGAGCCCUAUGGGGGAAAGAUUUAUCGCCAUGAGAUGUGCCCGCGUUAGAUUAGCUAGUUGGUAAGGUAAUGGCUUACCAAGGCGACGAUCUAUAGCUGGUCUGAGAGGAUGAUCAGCCACACUGGGACUGAGACACGGCCCAGACUCCUACGGGAGGCAGCAGUGGGGAAUAUUGGACAAUGGGGGCAACCCUGAUCCAGCCAUGCCGCGUGUGUGAUGACGGCCUUAGGGUUGUAAAGCACUUUCAGCAGUGAAGAUAAUGACAUUAACUGCAGAAGAAGCCCCGGCUAACUUCGUGCCAGCAGCCGCGGUAAUACGAAGGGGGCUAGCGUUGUUCGGAAUCACUGGGCGUAAAGAGUACGUAGGCGGACUGAUAAGUUAGGGGUGAAAUCCCAAGGCUCAACCUUGGAACUGCCUUUGAUACUGUCAGUCUUGAGAUCGAGAGAGGUGAGUGGAACUCCGAGUGUAGAGGUGAAAUUCGUAGAUAUUCGGAAGAACACCAGUGGCGAAGGCGGCUCACUGGCUCGAUACUGACGC
rnacentral:rRNA from 1 species